rnacentral:rRNA from 1 species
GACAUUCCGCAUCUUAUACAUGCAGUCGAGCGCAGGAAUCAACGGACCCUUCGGGGGGAAUCGACGGAUGAUCGGCGGACGGGUGAAUAACACCUAAAAAACCUGCCCUCCUGUCUGGGAUAACCACGAGAAAUCGGGGCUAAUACCGGAUGGGUCAUCGGACCGCAUGGUCCGAGGAUGAAAGGCGCUUCUGCGUCACCUGGGGAUGGCUUUGCGGUGCAUUAGCUAGUUGGUGGGAUAAUGGCCCACCAAGGCGACAAUGCAUACCCUACCUGAAAGGGUGAUCGGCCACACUGGGACUGAGACACGGCCCACAAAC